UAAUAAUAAUAAUAAUAAUAAUAAUAAUAAUAAUAAUAAUAAUAAUAAUAAUAAUAAUAAGGAUGUUCCUAAUUUGAUUUAGGAUAGCCUGACAUCUUUUUCGGAUAGCCUGCCAUCUUCAUAGGAUAGCCUGCCAUCUCGUAGGAUAGCCUGCCAUCUCAUAGGAUAGCCUGCCAUCCUCAUAGGAUAGCCUGCCAUCUUCAUAGGAUAGCCUGCCAUCCUUGUCGGCCGCCGUUAACAUUUCCACUUGUUUUUAAUAAUGGUUGACAGUCUGGCAGACCAUCUCUGUAAGAGGAUGCUUGUUUAAUAAGCUAAGCAUAACCUAUAUGAUUAGCUAGCUGUUGUGUUUUUUGUUUGUUUAUACAGAAUGUAAUCGUUAAUUUUAAUAUGUUACUGUGAAGUGGUUUACUGUAGUAGGCGGAGACUAAAGUUUUUCUAAACUAAUAGCUGUAGCUAGCUAGCUGUAGUCCUAAUUACGUGAUUAUCUAAACAAACAUAUUGAGUUGUUGUUAUGGUACUAUUAAAUAUAUAUAUUAAAGUUAUAAAUACAAGACUUAUUGCUAUGGUUAGUUUGAGUGUGUAACUUCAUAGGUGCCUGGUGUUGUGAUAACUUGACACUUGUGUUAAAAAAGCAAUAUAUAGCUAAUGACCCUCCUGUCUGUAGCUAGCUAGCACAUGACUAUCAUGUGGGCACAUGAUAGUCAUUGAUCACAUCAUUUUGUUGAAUAAAUCACACUUAUUUGUUCAUUAUUUAGUCAUAAUAGCUUAUUUUCUUCAAAACAUCUUAUCUGCCUCUUUAAAUCUGCCUAAAUUUCUAAACAGAGAAAGCAUAGCUAAAAACAAACUUUUUUUGCACUAAUUCUGUUACAAUAUUCCAAAAGCACCACAUAACAAAAAUAGGUCACUAAUUGUCUGUUUGCUGAAGAUAUUAUAUCCUUGAUAUAUAUUCAUGCUUAGGAAAUGAGUCUCAGGAUGCUCAAUCAUAUAUAUGACCUAUGUCAUUUAAACUCUGUGUAUAGUUUCUUCGUCAGGUCAUAAAAAGAGAUUUUUCGAAAGCUUGUCAAAACGCAGUUUGCGAUGAAGUUCCAGAUAUAUUUAAACUGAGCAUAGGCAAAAUAUUCUUAAUUUUUUUGAGAAUUCUUCUUGUCAAUUUUUUACUACAUUCUUAAGUUCUUUUACUUUGGGAUAAAAGUUUCAACUCAGUAGUAAUUUAAGUGAUAAAUUGUUUUACUUUGUCAAAACAAUUUGUAUACUGUGACAGUAAAACAGUAACAGAAACUUCGUAGAUAUUGUUAAAAUAUUAUCAUUUUGUGUCUGUUUAUAAAUUAUGGGAAGUUUGUCCAGUAAUUCUAGACCUUGAUAAGCUUUGAUUACGCAUAAUAUAGGAUUUGCUAGUACUAUUUCUUCUACUCGUAGAAAAGCAGGGUGUUUUGUUAAGGUUUUAUAAGUAAUUGUUUACGUUUGAAAUUUUUUUGUCCUUUUACUUAGAAAAGUGAAAGGAGAAAGAAAUAUCUAAGAACAUGCUUAACUUUCUUUGUUUGUCUUUUUAGACUAAUUCUGUGAAGUAUUACGUUCAUGUGUUUAACCAUGUUAAUUUUUAAUUGCAGGUUGUCCUUCUAAAAGCAUUAGGUGCUUGAGUCUGUAUAGUAUUUACAAUUGUACCAGCAGCAGCAAAAUAAUAAAGUUCUAGCAAUUUAGAUCAAAGUAAAUAAUGAUUAAAAUUGCUAGAAUUUUCUUAUUUCGAAUUAUUUUUUUAACAUAUUCUUGUAGUGCUUGUAAAAAUAUUAUUCCAAAUAUUUGACAACUGUCUUGAAAAUUUUACCUAGAUAAUCUAACAAGAACUUACAAAUACUUAUAAAAUGCUUAUAUAUAUAUAUUCUUAAAAAAUGAUUUAUAAUAAAAAGUGUUUAUAAGUAAUUUCUGAAGUUCUUUAUGCGUAUCUUUCCUAUUAUUGCAUGUGUAGCAGUGUUUCUUCACAAUACUUGGGAGUAUUACACGAUCUAUCUAAUUUUUCAAAUUUUCUCAUCAACACUAUUUAUCUAAAAAUAGGAUGCAUGUUUUCUUCUAAUUAGCAAAAAGGUAGUUGUAUAUAUCACACUAAGCAAUGAUUAAGAAAACUGACAAUUUGAAAAUUAAAUUGCUAAAUUGGAUUGAUUGUGUCCUUAAUAGAGUCGUUUUUUGUGGGCAAUUUUCUGUGAAAGCAUGGUUAAAAAUUUUUUUAAACCUCCUAUAUUUCUAAACACUUUCACUUUAGAGUUCAUAAUAUUACCUGAUGGGAAGCACUGAAAUGAAAAAAGACAAGAAUAUGUGCAAUCUGGGGAUUAUCGAUAUUUCAGAAAAACUUAAUGCUGUUUUACGAGAAAGUCAUAUCUGCAAAAGAAGAAGAAGAGAAGAAAGAAAAAACUCUUACAAUGUAUUUUAUAGUUUAUUGAACUUUUAUCACUUCAAAGGAA